rnacentral:rRNA from 1 species
GAUGAACGCUGGCGGCGUGCCUAAUACAUGCAAGUCGAGCGAAUGGAUUGAGAGCUUGCUCUUAUGAAGUUAGCGGCGGACGGGUGAGUAACACGUGGGUAACCUGCCCAUAAGACUAGGAUAACUCCGGGAAACCGGGGCUAAUACCGGAUAACAUUUUGAACCGCAUGGUUCGAAAUUGAAAGGCGGCUUCGGCUGUCACUUAUGGAUGGACCCGCGUCGCAUUAGCUAGUUGGUGAGGUAACGGCUAACCAAGGCAACGAUGCGUAGCCGACCUGAGAGGGUGAUCGGCCACACUGGGACUGAGACACGGCCCAGACUCCUACGGGAGGCAGCAGUAGGGAAUCUUCCGCAAUGGACGAAAGUCUGACGGAGCAACGCCGCGUGAGUGAUGAAGGCUUUCGGGUCGUAAAACUCUGUUGUUAGGGAAGAACAAGUGCUAGUUGAAUAAGCUGGCACCUUGACGGUACCUAACCAGAAAGCCACGGCUAACUACGUGCCAGCCGCCGCCGUAA